AGAGUUUGAUCCUGGCUCAGGACGAACGCUGGCGGCGUGCCUAACACAUGCAAGUCGAACGGGACUUAGGGGGCUUGCUCCUUAAGUUUAGUGGCGAACGGGUGAGUAACGCGUGAGAAACCUGCCUCUCAGUGGGGGACAACAGUUGGAAACGACUGCUAAUACCGCAUGAUGUAUUCGAAGGGCAUCCUUUGAAUACCAAAGCUUUAUGUGCUGAGAGAUGGUCUCGCGUCUGAUUAGCUAGUUGGCGGGGUAACGGCCCACCAAGGCGACGAUCAGUAGCCGGUCUGAGAGGAUGAACGGCCACAUUGGGACUGAGAUACGGCCCAGACUCCUACGGGAGGCAGCAGUGGGGAAUAUUGGGCAAUGGGGGAAACCCUGACCCAGCAACGCCGCGUGAAGGAAGAAGGCUUUCGGGUUGUAAACUUCUUUUAGCAGGGACGAAGGACGUGACGGUACCUGCAGAAAAAGCAACGGCUAACUACGUGCCAGCAGCCGCGGUAAUACGUAGGUUGCAAGCGUUGUCCGGAUUUACUGGGUGUAAAGGGCGUGUAGGCGGAGAUGCAAGUUGGGAGUGAAAUCCCGGGGCUCAACCCCGGAACUGCUUUCAAAACUGCAUCCCUUGAGUAUCGGAGAGGCAAGCGGAAUUCCUAGUGUAGCGGUGAAAUGCGUAGAUAUUAGGAGGAACACCAGUGGCGAAGGCGGCUUGCUGGACGACAACUGACGCUGAGGCGCGAAAGCGUGGGGAGCAAACAGGAUUAGAUACCCUGGUAGUCCACGCUGUAAACGAUGAAAUACUAGGUGUGAGAGGACUGACCCCUUCCGUGCCGCAGUUAACACAAUAAGUAUUCCACCUGGGGAGUACGACCGCAAGGUUGAAACUCAAAGGAAUUGACGGGGGCC
rnacentral:rRNA from 1 species